GUCUACGGACCUACCAACCUGAACGCACCUGAGCUCAUAUGAUCUCUAGAAGCUAAGCAGCAUUGGGCCUGGUUAGUACUUGGAUGGGAGGCCGCCUGGGAACACUGGUUGCUGUAGGCU
ensembl:rRNA 5S_rRNA 5S ribosomal RNA